UCUUUACAACAAUUAAAAACUCUAAAUAGUUGAUCACAGUGCUAGACCAAUAAGAAAGCUUUCUUGGGGGGUGGGGGUGGGGAGAGGAACGAGAUGGGUUGGCUAGCAAGGAAAGGACUUCAUACACACAAAGUAUUUUGCUAUGGAAUUGUAAUCAUUCGAUUCUGAAACAAGAUGCAGUCCCCUAGAAGCCAUUCGACACUUCCCUUUGCUACCUGGAAGGAAUGAACUUGACCAUCCUUUUGUUAAAAAUCUCCAAGAGAAGUAGUGUGCUGCAUCCCGCGCAGCCUCCCGGUACAUGCGUGUAUGUGCCUAUUUUAGCUGUGGCUGUAUACUUAGCUGUGUAGGCAAGCGCUAGCGCCCUCUGCUGGAACAAAGUAGAAUUCUCUCCUCGCGUAACAAUUGUUUCUUCAGGCUGAGGUAAUGGAUUCGUUUCCUUGAGCUCACCAGAAAGGACGAGGUUUCGACAAGGACUUCCUGGCAUUUAUUCCUCUGACAUCUGGCAUACCACUGGCAGCAAUCAAGACAUACAACCUUGUCAUUGGGGAGAUUUGUUCACCCAAAGGAAGACUUGAUGGUACUCACCGGUUAGAGCUUCAAAGGGCAUCUCCUCGAUACGUAAUAAAUGCUGGCUCUCCACCGUCAGUCCGUCCUCAGUAUGCAGGUGCGGCUGCUAUGGCUGCGCACAUCGUUAAGUGCUGCACACUCCACCUUCCCGCUGGACCACCCACCGGAGGUUAGCAUCGGGAGUCUCCAAGGAGGCCUCUUGGGGCUGAAGAGUUGGGAGAGGCUCCCAGGCUUGAAGCAAUAAAUGAGCAAGUCAACAAUCUUCUCUACCUGGACACACUGAGCCUACAUGCCUGGAAACAGCCAAUAUUCUACCAUGGACUUAGUCAAAUCCACUGAGACAAAAGCCAGAUGGAGUACAAACAUAAGGGAUCACUCAUAGAGCACUGUGAUCUUCCAUCCCUGUCUGGACCUGUUACAGAAUACUGAAAGUCAGAGCAUGUUGUCACAUAAGGAAGAUGAAGCCUUCAAAUAAAUCUGCAGCCCCUCCUGGUAUUUUAUUUGGUCUAGGAAAAACCUUUGGGCUCCCUGUGCCAACCCCUCCAUUCCCUCUCCCUCCUGGGAUUUCUAGGACAACCAUUUGCCACUCCUCUCUCUGUCCUUUUCUCUAGUCCUCAUCUGAUUGGCUAACACAGUAGGCAUUCCAUAUUUUGAUGACCUCUUUGUGACAUGCAGGGAGAAGAACUGAUCUUGUUCAUGGCAGGUUUAGCUCACAAGCCUAUCUUCUACUUGUUUCCUUGCAACAUCAUUUAGCUACUGCAUCUGUUAGCCACCCCUUCACUCAGAGGCAGCUGUGCAAAGAUUGAACCAUGUGAUCCUGAAAGCACAACACUGAAAGCUUCUGACUGUGCCAAGAGGAGAGAGUAGGGAAACAAAGGCCAAAGCCAGGGCCAAAGCCAGCUGCCAGGAACCCCCAUCUCCAACAGCAACACAGGAAAAUAAUAGUGAGGCUCCAUUUACCAUCACUCUCCUCCCCAGAGAAGCUCUCUGGAUUGGAGAUGAAAACUUCCUCCCCAAACCAUAUCUUCACCCUUUUCCCACCCUUCUGUACUCCCCACUCUUGGGAAUGAAGCACCAGGGCUCAGGAAACAAGGUGCUUUUUUCUCUCUCCCUGGAGGGACUGAGUGCUGCUAUCCCAGGCCCUGCAGAAUUCCUGAAGAAUUCAGGGCUUAGGGAAAGUGAAGGAGGACCUCUUGAAGGUGAAGCCCAAAAGUUCAAUAAGGACUGUAUAACUUGAAUAGGGGACCAGCUCAGUAAACUAUUAGACUUAGGUUGUGUGCAAGGCUAAAACAUCUCCAACUGGUUGUGUUCCCAUUUCUCUAUGCAAUGCUUGUCCUGCUCUUGGUUGAUGGAUUCUGCUAGGAGGCCUUCAGGAGAGAAAAGAAACAAUCUCUUCCCUCAUAUCUUUUUCUCUUUCUUUACUUCCCCAGACUCGCUUUUCUCCCUCCCUCUCUCCCUCCCUCCUUCCCUCUUUCUAAAGUCUUAGUUCUACUGCAGGCCCUUGACCUCGACACUUCAGUUAGACUAUUACCAGACUCACAACAUACUUCCUAAAUAAUCUUCAACCAAACCUUUUGACUUUCUUUGAUUUUCAAAAAAUACUCACUUCCACCUAUCCUUUUUCUUGAGGAUAAAAUGGGGUUUAAAAAGUGACUGAUAAAAUACUUUAAACACCUAUAGAAAUAUUACUACAUAAAUAAAGGGACAGAGGUCACACAUCCUGCUGAUAAGUGUGAGGACAGUUGUUACCUAUAAAAAUAUUGGCAGUGUU